rnacentral:rRNA from 1 species
UACAGAGGGGGCGAGCGUUGUUCGGAAUUACUGGGCGUAAAGGGCGCGUAGGCGGCCUUCUAAGUCGAACGUGAAAUCCCCGGGCUCAACCCGGGAACUGCGUCCGAUACUGGGAGGCUUGAAUCCGGGAGAGGGAUGUGGAAUUCCAGGUGUAGCGGUGAAAAUGCGUAGAUAUCUGGAAGGAACACCGGUGGCGAAGGCGGCAUCCUGGACCGGUAUUGACGCUGAGGCGCGAAAGCCAGGGGAGCAAACGGG